rnacentral:rRNA from 1 species
GCUUAAUGACGUACUGGGAAACUGGUAUUUCUUCGGUACAUUUUGCAAGGUGCUGCAUGGUUGUCGUCAGCUCGUGCCGUGAGGUGUCGGGUUAAGUCCCAUAACGAGCGCAACCCCUAUUGUUAGUUGCCAUCAGGUCAUGCUGGGGACUCUAACAAAACUGCCCGCGUAAGCGUGGAGGAAGGUGGGGAUGACGUCAAAUCAGCACGGCCCUUACGUCCAGGGCUACACACGUGCUACAAUGGCCGGUACAGAGGGCAGCCACUUGGUGACAAGGAGCAAAUCUCAAAAGCCGGUCUCAGUUCGGAUCGGAGUCUGCAACUCGACUCCGUGAAGUUGGAUUCGCUAGUAAUCGUAGAUCAGCAAUGCUACGGUGAAUACGUUCCCGGGCCUU